CCCUGACGUCAUUAGGAUGACUAACAUUAAAUGUAACAUGGGCCGGGCCUCCGCGGUGUUGACGGCAGUGGUGGGAUCCGGGUCUCUGACUGACCAAGCGAGGACUCACAAGCGGCGGUCGAGUCAGGGCCAAAAAUGUCACAUUGCCCACGGUGACGUUUUUCUGGAGGGACUGCGAGUGCAGGUGAGGUGAGGACAAGGACAAGUCCUUCAUCCGUCCAUCAACGUCCGAAGUGUCCCGGUGCCGCCCACUCUCAGGUCACCUCAACCGCGACGGCGGCCGAACAAAUAGGAGUCUCUCGAACCCAGCGUCCCUCAGACUGCCUUCCUUCGCAAAGCAAAUAUUUGAGGCCAUUAUAUCUCAUUUCCCAGGGCUAACCUUCAGUGAAAAGAUCAACGGAAAAGGAGUGAUCGCUCAGAGAGAGACGGACAAAGAGAGAAAGAGAGAAAGAAAGAAAGAAAGAAAGAAAGAGAGAAAGAAAGAAAGAAAGAGAGAGAGAAAGGGGGAGGGUGAAAAAUAGUAACCCUUUCAAAGUGAACUCUGCCUGCUAUUUCUGCUGCGCUGUGGGCAGGAGAACAUCCCAUUUGGGAGUGCUGUUGGCCAGUGGCAACAGGAUUUCCCUGCACCCUGCCCAUUUAUCCAAAUGCCUGUGUAAAUACUAGAUAGAGAUAUCAAUUUGUCUGGGCUCCAACAGUGCCCAAAAAGAGACUAUAAGCUAUCUAUAGCAAGCUCCACAACAAACUUGGCCUAUGUGGUCACAGAAUUGCUACCUAUUUAUUUCCUCAGUAGAGAGAUUCAGGAACUGUGAGUGAGAAUGGGAGCUGCUAUGUCUUUAGUUCUGAAGCAGAAAGCUUACUGAAAAGCUCACACCAGACUUGAAAGGUACAACAAUAAAUCCAGGGGGAACACCUUUCGCCACUAGCUGCAGGAGAAGGCAGCCAUUUUGGGGCUGCUGUUUUGAUGUCUUU
rnacentral:lncRNA from 1 species